AUUUUUCUUCCAGUGCAUGGGAGCAUGUGAUGAUUUCUUGUCUGAAGCGGUCCCUCUUCUGGAGUACGUGAGGUGCACUGAAAACAUGUUGGGCACUGAACAAACCCAACGAUGAACUAAGUCCCUGUCUCAAAGAGCUUUCAAUCUGUAUAGACAAGACAGACCAAGAAUGGAGAAAGAAGAGAUAAGUAAAAUGGCGGAGAGGAAGGAAAAGCUUUUAAGACAGCAUACAUACCAGAGGCUUAACGCAAAAGAAAAAUACCAGAAAGACAUCUGCAGAGUUAAUGAUUGGUAGAAUAUGAAGAACAGUACUGGACUUAGUUCGCUCCUCUUCGAUGAAGAAUUCAGUAUCCCUGUGUGGAACAAAGUUCACGACUGACAGAGAAAACAGAAGACUAAUUCUGGUUAAGGAGACAAAAGGAUUUUUCUGAAAGUUGCAGAUUAAAGAGUGCUUUGAGUGGAGCAAAAUUCUUUGGGUCUGAUUCUAAUUUAAUUCACAUCAGUCUAACUCCUUUAAAUUAAUGAUGUCGCUUCUUUUUUUAUCCCAGUAUGAAAUAAGAAUCAAUACCUGAAUUGGAUCCUAUUCCUAGCUCUGCCAGAGAGGCCUGCUAGGUGACUUUGGGAAACUGGUGUCCCUUCUGUGUGCCUCAGUUUCUACAUCAAUAAGAUGAAGAUCCUGAUACUGACUUUCUUUGUAAAUCCCUUUGAAUCUGCUGAUAAAAAGCACUGUAUAAGGCUAGGAGGUGGUUUCUUUUAUUUAUUUAUUUCUGUCCAUAGAACUGUAUUAAUAAAACCUGU